rnacentral:rRNA from 1 species
GAUGAACGCUAGCUACAGGCUUAACACAUGCAAGUCGAGGGACCGGCGCACGGGUGAGUAACACGUAUCCAACCUGCCCUUUACUCGGGGAUAGCCUUUCGAAAGAAAGAUUAAUACCCGAUAUAAAGGAUGGGGAUGCGUUCCAUUAGGUUGUUGGUGAGGUAACGGCCCACCAAGCCUUCGAUGGAUAGGGGUGCGGAGAGGAAAGUCCCCGAAAUUGAAACGAAGGCACGAACCAAACUCCUACGGGAGGCAGCAGUGAGGAAUAGUGAUCAAUGGGCGGUAGCCUAAACCAGCCAAGUAGCGUGAAGAAUGAAGGCUUAUGGGUCGAAAACUUCUUAUAUGGAAGAAAAUGUAAUAUAUGAAUAAGGAUCGGCUGACUCCGUGCCAGCAGCCGCGGUAAAUC